UGGAAUUUCCCGGCAGGCCGGCGUUACCGUGUUCGGAGUCGCGCUCGUUGCCGUCGCUGUCGCUCCGGGUGUUUUUGGGGUCGUUCCCGGUGUUCCCGGAGCCGUUCCCGGUGUUCCCAUCGGUGUUCCCGGUGUUCCCGGUGUUCCCGGAGCCGUUCCCGGUGUUGUUCCCGCCGUUCCCGGCUCCGUCGUCGCCGCUCCGGGAGCGUUUCCGUUUCCGGGCCCCCUCGGGCUCCCAGCGCCCCCCGGAGCGAGCGCGGAACGGGCGGCGCCGGCCCUGCCGAGAAUGCCGGGAAUCAGGGGAAUCCCGGGAAUCCGGGAAUGGGGAAUCCCGGGAAUCAGGGGAAUCCCGGGAAUCAGGGGAAUCCCGGAAUGGGGAAAACUGGGAAUGGGGAAAGCUGGGAAUCCGGGAAUCCCGGGAAUCCGGGGAAUCUGGGAAUCAGGGGAAUCCGGGAAUGGGGAAUCCGGGAAUCCCGGGAAUCAGGGGAAUCCCGGGAAUCCGGGAACGAGGAAAGCUGGGAAUGGGGAAACCCGGGAAUCCCGGGAAUGGGGAAAGCUGGGAACCCUGGGAAUGGGUAAAGCUGGGAAUCCGGGAAUGGGGAAAUCCGGGAAUGGGGAAAUCCAGGAAUGGGGAAACCCGGGAAUGCCGGGAAUCUGGGAAUGGGGAACAUGUGGGAAUCACGUGGGGAAAAGUGAGGAACCCCGGGAAAGACGUGGGAGAAAAAAAAUGGGGAAAAAGCGGGAAAAUCUGGGGAAACCUGGGACUGGUGUAGGAUGGAGCGGGAAAGGGCGGGAAAAGGCGGGAAAAGGCGGGAAAAGGCGGGAAAAGGAAGGAAGAGGCAGGAAAAGGCAGGAAAAGGUGGGAAAAGGUGGAAAAAGGAAGGAAAAGGCGGGAAAAGGUGGGAAUGGGAAUUGCAGGACUCACCGGGAACAGGGCCCCGUUCCAGGGCAGCGCUCCCGGCCGCUCCCUCCUGCGGCCGCCCUGCA
rnacentral:lncRNA from 1 species